GUGGAACUCUGCAGCUCCUCCAGGGUUACCUUAGGUCUCUGUGCUGCCUCUCUGGUUAAUUCCCUCCUUGCCCGGUCCGUGAGUUUUGGUGGGUGGCUGUCUCUUGGCAGGUUUGCUGUUGUGCCAUGUUCUGUCCAUUUUGAUCAUGAUAGAAUUGAUGGUACUCCUGGGGAUCAUCAAAGAUUUGGAUAUUUUUUUAGAACCAAAACUUGACUUGUACUUCUCAACAACAUUGUCCCUUACUUGUUUGGACAGGUCCUUAGUCUUCAUGACAGUGUUUGGUUAGUGGUGCCUCUUGCUUAGGUGUUGCAGCCUCUGGGG